CCAGCUCCAGACCUCAAUUAAACUGAUUGAAAGAUUAUGUCUUCAUCAUAUGAAUAUCAGGCACAAUCCCCCUUGUUAGGGGUUUAGUAUUAUACCAUAAUGAAAUAUAUGAGAAGAACAUAACCCGUGUCAUGCAAACAACUGGUUUUAGAAUAAAUGUGUGUAGUUCCGAUGAAAAGACCCUAUAAGUGAAUCAAUAUUAAAGCCA
rnacentral:lncRNA from 1 species